ensembl:misc_RNA
UUGACCCUGGAAGCCUAGAUACCCUUUCACUUAUUGACAGAAAUGGUCCAUCAUGGACAGCAGCACUGCCAGCUUCCUCACACUGCCUGCAACUGUCGCUGACCUUGAGGAACCACCACCUAGUGGGGUGAAAAGAUCGUUCAUUCUCCAUGCCCAUUCAGUCCUUUCCCUAG